rnacentral:rRNA from 1 species
CCGGCGAUGUCCGAAUGGGGAAACCCAGUGCAAUUCGUUGCACUAUCGUUAACUGAAUACAUAGGUUAACGAGGCGAACCGGGGGAACUGAAACAUCUAAGUACCCCGAGGAAAAGAAAUCAACCGAGAUUCCCCCAGUAGCGGCGAGCGAACGGGGAGCAGCCCAGAGUCUGAAUCAGCUUGUGUGUUAGUGGAACGGUCUGGAAAGUCCGACGGUACAGGGUGAUAGUCCCGUACACCAAAAUGCACAGGCUGUGAACUCGAAGAGUAGGGCGGGACACGUGGUAUCCUGUCUGAAUAUGGGGGGACCAUCCUCCAAGGCUAAAUACUCCUGACUGACCGAUAGUGAACCAGUACCGUGAGGGAAAGGCGAAAAGAACCCCGGCGAGGGGAGUGAAAAAGAACCUGAAACCGUGUACGUACAAGCAGUGGGAGCACCUUCGGGUGUGACUGCGUACCUUUUGUAUAAUGGGUCAGCGACUUAUAUUCUGUAGCAAGGUUAACCGUAUAGGGGAGCCGCAGGGAAACCGAGUCUUAACUGGGCGUUAAGUUGCAGGGUAUAGACCCGAAACCCGGUGAUCUAGCCAUGGGCAGGUUGAAGGUUGGGUAACACUAACUGGAGGACCGAACCGACUAAUGUUGAAAAAUUAGCGGAUGACUUGUGGCUGGGGGUGAAAGGCCAAUCAAACCGGGAGAUAGCUGGUUCUCCCCGAAAGCUAUUUAGGUAGCGCCUCGUGAAUUCAUCUUCGGGGGUAGAGCACUGUUUCGGCUAGGGGGUCAUCCCGACUUACCAACCCGAUGCAAACUACGAAUACCGAAGAAUGUUAUCACGGGAGACACACGGCGGGUGCUAACGUCCGUCGUGAAGAGGGAAACAACCCAGACCGCCAGCUAAGGUCCCAAAGUCAUGGUUAAGUGGGAAACGAUGUGGGAAGGCACAGACAGCCAGGAUGUUGGCUUAGAAGCAGCCAUCAUUUAAAGAAAGCGUAAUAGCUCACUGGUCGAGUCGGCCUGCGCGGAAGAUGUAACGGGGCUAAACCAUGCACCGAAGCUGCGGCAGCGACACUAUGUGUUGUUGGGUAGGGGAGCGUUCUGUAAGCCUGCGAAGGUGACCUGUGAGGGUUGCUGGAGGUAUCAGAAGUGCGAAUGCUGACAUAAGUAACGAUAAAGCGGGUGAAAAGCCCGCUCGCCGGAAGACCAAGGGUUCCUGUCCAACGUUAAUCGGGGCAGGGUGAGUCGACCCCUAAGGCGAGGCCGAAAGGCGUAGUCGAUGGGAAACAGGUUAAUAUUCCUGUACUUGGUGUUACUGCGAAGGGGGGACGGAGAAGGCUAUGUUAGCCGGGCGACGGUUGUCCCGGUUUAAGCAUGUAGGCUGGUUAUCCAGGCAAAUCCGGAUAAUCAAGGCUGAGGUGUGAUGACGAGGCACUACGGUGCUGAAGUAACAAAUGCCCUGCUUCCAGGAAAAGCCUCUAAGCAUCAGGUAACAUCAAAUCGUACCCCAAACCGACACAGGUGGUCAGGUAGAGAAUACCAAGGCGCUUGAGAGAACUCGGGUGAAGGAACUAGGCAAAAUGGUGCCGUAACUUCGGGAGAAGGCACGCUGGUGUGUAGGUGAAGUCCCUGCGGAUGGAGCUGAGACCAGUCGAAGAUACCAGCUGGCUGCAACUGUUUAUUAAAAACACAGCACUGUGCAAACACGAAAGUGGACGUAUACGGUGUGACGCCUGCCCGGUGCCGGAAGGUUAAUUGAUGGGGUUAUCCGUAAGGAGAAGCUCUUGAUCGAAGCCCCGGUAAACGGCGGCCGUAACUAUAACGGUCCUAAGGUAGCGAAAUUCCUUGUCGGGUAAGUUCCGACCUGCACGAAUGGCGUAAUGAUGGCCAGGCUGUCUCCACCCGAGACUCAGUGAAAUUGAACUCGCUGUGAAGAUGCAGUGUACCCGCGGCAAGACGGAAAGACCCCGUGAACCUUUACUAUAGCUUGACACUGAACAUUGAGCCUUGAUGUGUAGGAUAGGUGGGAGGCUUUGAAGCGUGGACGCCAGUCUGCGUGGAGCCAACCUUGAAAUACCACCCUUUAAUGUUUGAUGUUCUAACGUUGGCCCCUUACCGGGGUUGCGGACAGUGUCUGGUGGGUAGUUUGACUGGGGCGGUCUCCUCCCAAAGCGUAACGGAGGAGCACGAAGGUUAGCUAAUCCUGGUCGGACAUCAGGAGGUUAGUGCAAUGGCAUAAGCUAGCUUGACUGCGAGCGUGACGGCGCGAGCAGGUGCGAAAGCAGGUCAUAGUGAUCCGGUGGUUCUGA